rnacentral:rRNA from 1 species
UACGAAGGGGGCUAGCGUUGCUCGGAAUCACUGGGCGUAAAGCGCACGUAGGCGGACUCUUAAGUCGGAGGUGAAAUCCUGGAGCUCAACUCCAGAACUGCCUUCGAUACUGAGAGUCUCGAGUCCGGGAGAGGUGAGUGGAACUGCGAGUGUAGAGGUGAAAUUCGUAGAUAUUCGCAGGAACACCAGUGGCGAAGGCGGCUCACUGGCCCGGUACUGACGCUGAGGUGCGAAAGCGUGGGGAGCAAACAGG